UACGUAGGCAGCAAGCGUUGUUCGGAAUUACUGGGCGUAAAGAGUGUGUAGGCGGUUUUCUAAGUUUGGUGUGAAAUCUCCCGGCUUAACUGGGAGGGUGCGCCGAAAACUGGAAGGCUUGAGUGCCGGAGAGGAUAGCGGAAUUCCUGGUGUAGAGGUGAAAUUCGUAGAUAUCAGGAGGAACACCAGUGGCGAAGGCGGCUUCCUGGACACCAACUGACGCUGAGACGCGAAAGCAUGGGGAGCAAACAGG
rnacentral:rRNA from 1 species